rnacentral:snoRNA from 1 species
CGCAGAGUGCCGCUGCUGCUCUCUGAAGAG